CUUAUCCAGGGGAGCAGGUAAAGAAAAAGAAAUAGUCUCAUUUAUACUAAUGAAUGAAGAAGUCAUUGCUAGGUUUUCCCACACAUAGGUUUGAAGAUGUUAAAAGGAACUUGAGAAUUUUCUUUUUCCUGGAUGCCCUGUAUUAAGCCCAUUCUUUGACACUUUCACAUAGAUCCCAAAGAACACAACUCAAAGAUACAAAAGGUCUGGGUGCUUAUUCUAUAGUCUGUAGAAAUCCUCUCUUCUUCCUUUCUUUUUUGUUGUUGCUGAAGGCAUAACAAUCCUACCAGGUACCAGAUUUGCAACCUCAGAGUAAUAGUCUGUUUCAUUUUCCUUCAUCUUACAUAUCCAAAAGGCUUUCUCUCCACUCACAGCUACCACACUUCUGUUCCAUCCCUUAUCACUUCUCUAGAUUAUUACAAUAGUCUCUUUACUAAUCUCCCUGUAUACAUGUUCUGCCCUUUUCAAUCUCUUCUUCACAUGGCUGCCACACUCAUAGUUUCCUUCUUUCUUGCUUCCUCUCUUUUUUCCCUUAAUUUGUCUGAGUAAUAAUCCUUAAAAAAAAAAAAAAGAGUGGCAAGAGCUAGGCAAGUGGAACUAAGUGACUUGCCCUGGCUUACACAAGAAGUAUAUGAGGCUAGGUUUGAUCCCAGGUCCACCUGACUCCAAGCCUGGCACUCUAUCCACUGAGCCACCUAGCUCUCCACCCUCAAUUUCUUAAAGCCCAGAUCUGACCAUGUUACUCUUCUACUUAAGAAGCUCCUUCCUGUUACCUCUUGGAUAGAGAAAACACAAAUUACUAUUUGGCAUCUAAAGUCCUUACCAACCUGGCUCCAGUCACUAUUUCAGGCUCACUACAUUCUUCAAAUUCUCUACAUUCCAUCCAUACCCAAUACACAGUGUUCCAUGUCCCAUCUCUGUAGAUUUGCACAGGUUGUUGCACAGGUUUAGAAAAGGCUCCCUCCUUCUCACCUCCACCUCUUAGAAACCCUAGCUUCCUCUGUCGUUCUUGUUCAUCUUUUGUUUUGGAAGACAACCAAAGACAUCAUAAAGGUGAUGUCUUGACUCUUGAGUGAAUUGGACUCAAGGAAGGCAAAGUUGCACAAAGUCAUCAGCCUCAGUUUCUUUUCCAGAGUCAUCAAAUUCCAGUAAUAAAAAAAAGUCAGGACAACUGGUGAUGGCCCGGGAUGUAGUAGAUGAUGACCUGAGCAUCUUCAAUGUCUGACCAAGCUCUAAAGCUUCACAGCUCCUACUUCAGCUGCCUUCAUGGCCACUAGAAUAGAUUCUUCUCAUCUGACUCUUCUGCCAGAAGGAAAGAAAUCUUCAGAUGCUUGUGGCAGAUACCUACAAUAAUUCACUGAUGGGUCUGAAGCCUGUUGGUUUCCCUCAGGUUACCCUUGACCUGAUUUAGCCUAUCUGCUGAGACAGUCUUCCCAGGUUGUGGUUGCUGUAAAUGCUACAACUUCCUGGGGCCACAGGUGAGAGCUGGGUGCCAGGUGGACACCAAAGGUGAAUGAGCAGCCCUGAGAAGGACUCAGCAAGCUCUCACUCCAGAGGAGCUAGUCUUCCCCAAAUAUCCCACGAGCUUCCCUAUAGGAGCAUAUCCUGAUUCCCCCCAAGGCAUUCCCUCAGAUUACAAAAUAUAUACAAAGUGAAAAUUUUACUUCUCUGUACAUAUGUGGUUUUCCUCUGACCGUGUUAACUUGUUGAAGUCAAGGAUUGUUUUAUUUUUCUCUUUGUGUUUCCACUGCCUAUCCCAAAGGCCUAGGAACUCUCCAAAUGCUUAUAAUAUGAAUGAGUAAGUCUCAGCACCCACUCAUACGCUGGGCAAAUCACUUAAUCUAAUUGCUUCCGUUUCCUCAGCUGUAGAACUUGGGUUUUUUUGGCAAAGAUCCUGGAGUGAUUUGCCAUCUUCUUCUCCAGGUCAUUUGACAGAAAUAAUUUGCUCAGAACACAACUGGAUCACACAACUAGUAAAUACCUGAGGCUAGAUUUGAACUCAGGUCUCUGCCCCUUAAAGUGUUAUAUAGACAUUAUUAUUAUUCUAUAAUCUUUUCUCAAGUAUUCCCUUUUCCCUGUUUUCUUUAAAAAACAAAACAAAAACAAAACCUUCUAUCUUAGAAUUGACACUAAAUAUCAAUAUCAAUUCUAGGGCAGAAGAAAGGUAAGACCUAGUGGAUAGAGCUACCAGUCUGGAGUCAGGAGGACUUGGGGUUCAGAUGUGGAUGCAGACAAUUCCUACCUGUGUCACCCUGGAGUCCUCAAAGUCCAGUGGAAUGAUAAGAGUCAGGAUGACUGGCGAUGGCCUGGGAUGUACUGGAUGACCUUGGCAUCUUCAGUGCCUGACCAAGCUCGAAGCCAUCCACAGCACCUACUUCAGUAGCCUUCACUGCCACUGGAACAAUCUGUUCUCAUCCCCCCACUCUGCUGGUGGAAAUCUUCACAUGCUCGGGGUAGACAUCCCUCUCACCCACUGCUGGGGUUGAGGCUUGUUGGUUGCUCUGAAUCUGGUUUCUGUGCCCCCCCCCUCCCCGUGCCUGCUACAGCUUCUUGGAGCUAGAGGUGAGAGUUGGGUGCCAGAUGGGCACCAAAAAUGGAUGAGCAGCGAUGAAAGGGGCUCAGUGCGCCCUCACACCAGAGGUGCUAGUCUUCCCUGAACAUUCCACACACCCCAUUCAGGCCUCUUGUCAUCUUGCUAUCAAUGCUUUCUCAGUAAACUGAGCAAUCUCUUCCCUGAGGAUCUGAGGUCCAGGUUGUAACAUUUUGGGAGCUUGGGAGCUAGGCUCACAACUCUCUCUACCAAGUUCCACACUUCAGAUGAAGGUCUUUUUGACCAGUUCCUGCUAGGUUAGGCUUCAGAUACUUACAAAUGGAGAUAAGGAUGAAGAGCAGAGUGGCCACACCUGCUGUUAGGAAGAACAAAAUACUGAUGUGGUGGGCUAGUUUUUCCAUGUCCUGGAGGUUCGGUAUUAUAACAGGAGGAAUCAAGAACCCUAGGGCAAUACCCACCUGUCAAGAGAGAAAAGCAAUGGGAAUCACAUUACUUUUGUGAAGGGAAAAUCAAUGACUGCAUUCUUGUUAGAGAGAAGAAUGUGAAGAAAGCCACAUUUCCCAAAUUUAAUCCUUCUCAAAACUCAGUCCAUAAUACCUUACCUCCCCCACCAAAAAUAAAGAAAAGACCAGCCCUAUUUAUAAUUACAGGGGAAAAUUCUAAAUAAAAUCUUGGCAUAUAUUAUACUAACAACCUUAUAAAAUUGUAACUAUGGAAAAUUGGUAAUUUACAAAGAUUAGAAGAAAAUUUAAUCAUGUAGCAAGAUGUUAGUACUUUGUAAAAUUAAAUUCAUAAUAAUGACAAUUAAAGAUAAUUUUUGAAUAAGUUAUAAGUAAAUAUUGUCUUUUCACUGGUCAUCUCACCCAAAUUUAGCAUCCUGCUAAAAGGGAGCUGGGGUUUGAACUCUGUAGUAAUACUAAGAGUAGCUAACAUUAGAAAGAACUUUCUUGGUGGCAGGGACUAUGCUAAUAAGUGCUUUACAAAUAUUUUUUCAUUGGGUCUCCAUGACAACCCUUUAAGAUAGGUGUGCUUAUCCCCAUUUCACAGAUGAGGAAACUGAGGCAAAAAAAAAAGAGGUGAAGUGACUUGCCUAGGGUCCCACAGCUAGUAAAUAUCCAUGGCCAAAUUUGAAAUCAGACCUCCCUAAUUCUAAGCUGGAGUUCUAUCCACUGCACUAGCUAGCUGCCUCUAAAGUAGCUAUCUCACAGCACCACAGUUCCUGUACUCUCGUUUCCAUGACAGGAUAAAACAAAGCUAAUUUUUGCUUAGGCUACCUUAACUCUGUUUUCUUUUUGUUUUUAAACCUUGAUUUUAAUGAACUUUAGUUAUCACUAUUAAUAAUAAUUCAUGUUAUUUAUUGUAAGUAUUAAUUAAAUAACAUUCCUUAAAAUACUAUAUAAAUGUGAAUUAUUAGAAUUUUAGUAUAGGUCUCAAGUAGCCUGCAGUUGAUCUGCUUUUUUUUUAAGGCCUUAUUUUCCAUCCUAGUAACAACUAUAAAACAGAAAGGCAAAGGCUAAGCAAAUGGUUUUAAAUGAUGUGCCCAGGGUCACACAGCUAGAACGUGUCUAAGGUCAAAUUUGAACCCAGGUCCUCCUGACUCUAGGCCUGACACUCUAUCCACUAUGCUACCUCGCUGCCCCAAUCUGAGAUUUUCAAAAGAUAUAUCAGUAGAGCACAAGCUUUAUUUAGCAGCUGCAACCAAUCUGGAAAGACCUCAUGUAUGAGCUUGGAGUCAGCCUGGCUAUAUUUGGAAUGUCUUUUUAUCAUCAGGGCAAUGUAACUUUCAAAAGCUAUUGAUGAAAACCUGCAGAAAGAUUUCCAUCAAUGUCUAGAAAGAGAAGGCUCAAAUUGGGUCCUCAAAGCACCUAAGGAUAAUAAACUUGGACUGAGGGACUAGCAGAGAAAAAAUAAAGUUCUUGUUUAAAUUCAAGAAUCUUAAUAAAUCACAAGUUAAAAACUCCAACAGUGAUGGCGUUCAUUCCACUGAGUGAUAAAAACAAGAACCACAUGGAGCCAUGAUAGAAAUAAUUUUAGCAUUGUAUAUUGGAGAAGUCAUCUACCAAAACCCUCUCCUUUCAUAGAUGAGAAAACUGAGACCAGAGAAGCUCAACAACUCACCAGAGUUCACACAGAAGGUAAAUGGCAGAGCUAAGGCUCAAAUCCCAAGUCCUCAGACACAAACUCCAGACUUCUUUCCAACGGUCACAUGCCUCCAUCACCUCUAACCCACAAGCAGCUUACAUUUACAAAUGUAUAAACACUUGAAAACAAAUAUACUGGAUCUCAUACAUAUAUGGAUCUCCAUAAACACACUGAAAGCAAGUUUAGAGUCUUACUGGAGUUGGCCUCUAAUAUAAUUUCUAUAGGGGGAGCUAGUGGUGUAGUGAAGAGAAUCUGAGCCUGGAAUCAGGAAGACUAAUCUUCCUGAGUUCAAAUCUGAACCCAGACACUUUAUUAGUUGUAUGACCCUGGGCAAGUCACUUAACCCUGUUGGCCUCAGUUUCCUUAUCUGGAAAAUGAGCUGGAUAGAGAAAUGGCAAACCACUCUAGUAUCUUUGCCAAGAGAACCCCAAAAGGGGUCAUGAAGAGUCAGACAUGAAUGAAAAGAUUGAAUAACUACUUCAUGGAAUAUAACUGUUUCCUAUAGGCAUAAUCAUCUUAAUUAAAUUUAAACACACAGAACUAAAGCAGCAACUAACCUCAAACCUUCUCUUAUAUUGAUGACUUUAGGGCAGAAAUCAGGAAAUAGGUCUAAGCAGGCUGUGAAAUCCCAACAAAAGAGAUAAAGAAUAGAUUCUUUUGUCCUUAAGCUUCACCUUUUCUUUAAGGGCCUCUAAGGGAUUUAGAGGUAGGAUAAGCUUCCAGGCUCUUAAAGGACAUGCUAUUUUUCCUUUUGGCCAAUACUUCAACAUGUGACAGUAGGAUAUGAGGUGUUAUUGUUAUGUUAGACCACGUGACAGAAUUCAGAGGCAGAUUCCAGCUCUCAUAUGCUUGACAUAAUGGAAAAAGUGUCAGGAAGAUUUGGGUUUUCAAGUCCCACCUAUCACAGCCACAAGACUCAAAUUCUCACUACGUCCCAGUCUAUUAAUUACAGAGCACAUACUAGAAGGAGUUUAAUUACUGGAAGUUCCCUAUACCAAUAAAAAUCACAAUCCAUACCUUCUUCUCUUCUUCCCUAUCUCCACAAAACGGUGACAAAAAUUUCUUUAUUCCUAUGUGUGGGACUUCUCUGAUUGAGGCUUCCAGAAAAAAAUAUCAAUUACCAUUAUUAGACAUAAAUCAGAAGGAUGCUAGUGUGAAGAUUAAAUUUAACUCUCCCCUGAUUGUAAAAAUUAAAUUAACUCCCCUGCCCAUUUUUUAGAUCUAAUCACCAAAGGCGUAAACACCCUAUUCACACUUGAGUGGGGGAGUUCUGUGACCCACGUGUGCAAUAGUGGGUGACGAAUCAGAAUUAAACUGACUGCCCCUAUGCAGUACUAAAGCAAAGCUCCAACUGUGAUUGGUAGAUGUAAAAUUAAGGGAAGGCAUAGGAAGUGAAGGAAAAGAAAGUGUCUUUAAAAGGGAAUUACAACUUCCUGAGUGCAGUUUUUACUUGGAGUUCUACUUGGAGUUGGAUUUCCUGUGAGAAACAGUUCAUCUUUUGGACUUGAGACUGGUGAAGAAUCUGCUGACUGGACCUGAGACCCUGUUCCUGGUAAGACUAUCCUUAAAUCUCCUCCUUUGUACUGACACGUGGUGAGUGAAAAAGCUGACUCCUUCCUGGAUUUUUCUGAAGAUACUAGCCACAGUAGAAGCCUAUCCUCCUGAGAGGAACAUCCCCAGGUCCUCAGCUACAAGGGUCAAGGCCUCUCUGGUUAAGGACUAAACCCCCCUACCUGGGUUGAGCCAGGGGUCGGAGUAUAAAAUACUUAGUUCUUAGGUUAGAUAUCUAACCCUAUCCUCUCUCUGAUUUUCUAACUUCACUCUUUCUAUAUUUUGUAAAUAUAUCUCUUUGGAAUAUAAAUUCCUAGCAACCCUAUUCUUAAAUAAUCCAGUUCAACUUUUUUAUAAAUAAACCCCCUUUUCCCCUUAUACUAGAAAUAUCAUGUAUAUAGAUUUUGGCAAAACAUUUAACAAAUUCUUUCAUCUACAGGUUCCUUCUGACCUCUCUAAUCACUUCCAACCAGGAUUGUGCAAGAGCUAGUUUCUACUAGGGAAAGCUGCUUGUUAACUGUUUCAGAAGGAGCUCAGAAAUCAGCAGUGCUACAAAAGCAGAGUUUAAUUACUGUUUUUGUUGAUUACCUAGAUCUAAGAAUGAGAUAGAUAAAAUGCUAAUAAUCCAGAGUUGGGGAUGUGUGUUUAUAAAAAAUUGGGGGGUAAGUGGAGAGCUAGUUAUUAAACAUUUACCAGCACACUACUGCUUCCAACUCUGUGAUUAUCUCAAGAUAGUUUCCAUUAUCUGGACACUUUGGUUUACCAGUAAGGAUAGUUUCAGAUAUUUAACUUGCACCCCCAACACCUAGCAUAGCAUCUGGCACAUAAGAGAUGAUAAAUAAAUAUUUGUGGAAUAUUUGAUUGAUUGAUUCAGCUUUGAUUUGGUCACUAAGACUAGGGCUUACUAGGUAGGGUGAAAGUAGAGACUGUGGAGUUCAAAUAGACACAUAAGACAUUUCAAAUGAGAAGUGGAAAAAUCCUCUUUGGAUUGAGCUAAAAAAGAAAGGCAAAAUUCUUGAGACACAGGUGCCAAUUACUGAAAGUCACUUUUGAUUUGGUUUGAACACACUAAUUUUACCCUUUCAUCAGUCAUCAUAUCAAUAUUUAGGUGAAGAUAACACACAAGUUACUAGUCCCUGCUGUCCCAGAACUGAAAUCUUUUCAUUGUGUAUAUAUGGAAGGGGGAAGCAGGGUUGACUUCAUUAUUUACAAAACAAGAUUAAAUAUGGCCUAGAUUACUCUCUUGCUUUCAAGUUUUCACUUCACUUUUGCAUCUGCUCUAAAUAGGAGGAGAAACUUGGCACAAGGUUUAAAGAUCAAAGUCCACGUGUCUCCAAAUAAAUUUCAUGGUUCAGAUAUUUUUCUACAGAUUCCAGUAAACAUGUGUGUACACAUCAGGAAGGGAUGAACAGAACCAAUAUCUGUAAAAUGUAUCACUUGAUAUCCAGGCCCCAACCACACGGAUGACAAAAAAGAUUCAAAUCCAUAUAUCCAGAAGAGGAUCAUAUUCUCCAGGACAUUGGUCUCUAAAGUGGUGGCUAUGGUGCAGUCCUAAUGAGACCAUGGCAUGAUCCCAAGGGGUGUUGAUAAACUGAGCAGAGUGUGGUAAUAAUGGAAAUAUUCGUCCCUCCCCACCCUCACUCACAGCUAUCACCUCAUUUCCCACUCAUCUGCUCUCCUUUUGGACUUCUUUGACUUCUCAGUCAUGAUCUCAAGCUCAGUGCCUUUCUCUUUUCUUCUCCCUUCCCCUUCUCUUCUUUUUUGUUUUAUCUUCUUCCAUUGUGUUGGAAGCUCCUUAGAGCAAGUGCUGUCUUUUUCAUAUUUGUCUCUGUAGUGCCUGACACAUAAUAGACUCCCAGCCAAUUGUGGGCUUAAUUCUAACAAAAUCAUGUGACUCCCUUAUUCUAAGAUUCCCACCUCUCAAACUCCAUUAUAACCUAAGUGAACCCAGGCAACUAGCAGAAGCUACAUAGCCAAAAUGUUAGCAUUCUCUACCCAUUCCCCACCAGGCCCUAUGUCUGGCCCCUUUCAUUUCUUGGUUGUUGUAGAAACUCCUCAAAGGGCAGGUUCUCUACUCAAGGGUCACAGUCGUGACAGCCCCCUGCUCAAACACACAUACAUUUCCUUUCUUUUUGUUUUUUGGUGGUAAAGUGGGAACAGCAUAGAAUGAACAGGCACGAUUGGGCUGCAAUUAUAUUCUUUUCCCUCUUCCAAAGUCCUCUAUUUCUAUUAAGGGUCUCAACAUCCUUCCAGGCUCCCACAUUCCCAAUUUCCAGUUUAUUUUUGCCUUCUCAUUCAACUGACACUGUUCUUGAAAGUUACUAGUGAUGGAGCCAGCUAGGGAGCUCAGUGGUUAGAGAGCCAGGCCUACAGAUGGGAGGUCCUAUGUUCAAAUCUGAACUCAGACACUUCCUAGCUAGAAAGUGACCCUGGGCAAGCCAAUCUUAUAUCUUGGAAACAAUAUACAGUAUUGAUUCUAAAACAGAGGGUAAGGUUUUAUGGGGAGUGGCGUUGCGGUGGGGGAGUUACUAGUGAUUUAAUUGCAUUUUCUGAAUCCUUAUCUUUCCUUACCUGGUACAGCCUUUAACAGUGGUGGACCAGCCUCUCCACUGUCUCUUCCUAGAUAAUCUCUCUUCCCUAGAUUUUUGUGAAACUGUUCCCCUUUCCUCCUUUCUCUCUCUCUCUCUCUCUCUCCUCUUCCUGACAAGGGCUGUUCUGCUUUGUGGACUUCUGAUCCAUGUCACACCCACUAAAGCAUACCCCAAGGCUCUAUUGCAGGCCUUCUUCUCUUUUGUCUCUAAUAUUAAUUGGUCUCUUCAGAUCUGAGUUCAAGGAUCAUCUUUGUGUAAAUGCAGAUUCUUACCCUGAGUGAGAUGAUUCCCAAAUCAAUUUAUCCAAUCAUACCCUCUCUCCUCAAUUCCAGGCCCACGUUGCCUAAUAGACAUUUCCAUUUAGAUCUUCCAUAGGCAUCUCAAAUUCAAAAAAGCAUUCAUUAUGCCCCUCUCCAGCCAAACUAACCUCCUUCUUCUGAAUUUCCUUAUUUCUAAACCUCAGGAAACCACUAUCCUUCUCCGUAUCAUCCUUGACUUCUCAUUUUCUUUACUCCACAUUUCCAAUCAGCUGACAAAUCAUGCUCUCUCAUAUCUGCUUCCUCUAUUCACAGAGCUAACACCCGACUUUCAGGCCUUGAUUAUCACCUGCUUAGAGUAUUGUAAUAGCUUCCUAAUUGGUCUCCCUGCCUUAAAUCUCUCCCUCUUGACUCCAUCCUCCACAGAGUAGCUGAAGUGAUGUUCCUAAAGUAAAGGUCUGAUAAUGUUACUACUCCCUUACUCAGUAAACUUCAGUGGCUCCCUAUUGACUAGCAUCAAAUAUGAUUUUAUAUUUAGCUUGAUCUUUUAAAAUAUCUAUUCUUAUGUAAAAUUUAUGAUGAAUAUAAUUAUUAGCACAAAAAUAUGCAUAAAUAACUUCUAAAUAAAUAUGUAUUAGAGGUAUAUGCUCAAUA